CGACCCCAGGUCAGGCGGGGCUACCCGCUGAGUUUAAGCAUAU
rnacentral:rRNA from 1 species